rnacentral:rRNA from 1 species
CUGGCGGCGUGCCUAAUACAUGCAAGUUGAACGCUUGAUUUUCACCGAAGCUUGCUUCACCGAAAAUCGAGAGUAGCGAACGGGUGAGUAACGCGUGGGUAACCUACCUUUCAGCGGGGGAUAACUAUUGGAAACGAUAGCUAAUACCGCAUAAUAAUGUUGGAUGCAUAUUCGACAUUUGAAAGUACCAACUGGUACACUGAGAGAUGGACCCGCGUUGUAUUAGCUAGUUGGUAGUGUAAUGGACUACCAAGGCGAUGAUACAUAGCCGACCUGAGAGGGUGAUCGGCCACAUUGGGACUGAGACACGGCCCAAACUCCUACGGGAGGCAGCAGUAGGGAAUCUUCGGCAAUGGACGAAAGUCUGACCGAGCAACGCCGCGUGAGUGAAGAAGGUUUUCGGAUCGUAAAACUCUGUUGUUAGAGAAGAACGUUGCAUAGAGUGGAAAAUUAUGCAAGUGACGGUAUCUAACCAGAAAGGGACGGCUAACUACGUGCCAGCAGCCGCGGUAAUACGUAGGUCCCGAGCGUUGUCCGGAUUUAUUGGGCGUAAAGCGAGCGCAGGUGGUUUAAUAAGUCUGAUGUAAAAGGCAGUGGCUCAACCAUUGUGUGCAUUGGAAACUGUUAGACUUGAGUGCAGUAGAGGAGAGUGGAAUUCCAUGUGUAGCGGUGAAAUGCGUAGAUAUAUGGAGGAACACCGGUGGCGAAAGCGGCUCUCUGGACUGUCACUGACACUGAGGCUCGAAAGCG